GCCGGGCAUGGUGGUGCAUGCCUGUAAUCCCAGCUACUCAGGAGGCUGAGGCAGGAGAAUCGCUUGAACCCGGAAGGCGGCGGUUACAGUGAGCUAAGAUGGCGCCACUGCACUCCAGCCUGGGUGACAGAGUGAGACCUUGUCUCAG
ensembl:misc_RNA Metazoa_SRP Metazoan signal recognition particle RNA